rnacentral:ncRNA from 1 species
CUUAUCCGGAGUGACCGAGGGAACAGGCCCUAUGACGUCCGGCAACCUACCUUUGCGGCAAGGUGCUAAUUCCUGCGGUCUGACCGAAAGAUGAGG